rnacentral:lncRNA from 1 species
UUUAUCUGAACCUAGGGUUUGUACAAAGUUGUUUUAAUAUGUGUGUUUGAUUUGUUGAUUUCAAUUUGCCCUCCAACUUGUGAUUCAUGAUUCCUGGUGCCUGUUUUCUUGUGAAUUACCUGAUCAAUAAUUUACAUGUCUAGCUGUUCAGUUUGAGUCUUGAAUGCGAUAAUUGUUCAGCCGAUUCAGGAAUGCAUGAUAUAGUGUUAGCCUUGAGUCUUGAAUGCGACAG